UACAGAGGGGGCGAGCGUUGUUCGGAAUUACUGGGCGUAAAGGGCGCGUAGGCGGCCAACUAAGUCGGACGUGAAAUCCCAAGGCUCAACCUUGGAACUGCGUCCGAUACUGGAUGGCUUGAAUCCGGGAGAGGGAUGUGGAAUUCCAGGUGUAGCGGUGAAAUGCGUAGAUAUCGAGAGGAACACCUGCGGCGAAGGCGGGUUGCUGGGCUGACACUGACGCUGAUGUGCGAAAGCUAGGGGAGCGAACGGG
rnacentral:rRNA from 1 species